rnacentral:SRP_RNA from 1 species
GCCGGCUGCAGUGGCACAUGCCUGUAGUCCAGCUACUUGGGAGGCUGAGGUAGGAGGAUCACUUGAGCCCAGGAGUUCUGGGCUGUAGUGCACUAUGCUGAUGGGGUGUCUACAUUAAGUUCGGCAUCAGUAUGGUGACCUCCCAGGAGCAGGGCACCACCAGGUUGCCUAAGGAGGGGUGAACUGGCCCAGGUCGGAAACAUAGCAGGUCAAAACUCCCUAGCUGAUCAAUAGUGGGAUCGUGCCUGUGAAUAGCCACCGCACUCCAGCCUGGACAACACAGUGAGACCCCUGU